rnacentral:lncRNA from 1 species
GGGGAGAGGGGUGAGCUAAACUAGCCCAGUGAGUAGAAAAUUAAAACAUGCUUCAUGCCAUGUAUCAUAACAUAUUCAUUUCUUAUCUUUGGCUUUUAUCCGUAUGGGGUUCACGCAAGCGUCCUUCCCCCAAGAGUUCACGCAAGCGUCCUUCCUCUCACGGAAAGGUCAUGACCUCCUUUACAUUUUCUUUAUGCAAUGCACAAGAUUCAUGAGACUAGUGCAAUCAACCUACUAUAAAUGCUCAUGAUGCAUGGUUAUGC